CAAGUGCUACCACGCCACCGGGAGGUGGCAGGGCAGAUCCUGGUGUCGGGGCGGAUCCUGAAGCUGGGAGUGGCUGACCCCACUGCUCCCACAACCGGUCUGAGAAGGUGCAGAGAGGCCCAGGAUGUAGGGAGAGGAGUUGCCUCCCUGGCUUAGAAGUCAGCUCCAUGAAGGGGGACGUAAAUUACAGACAGGAUGCUGGCCCCAUCGGACACAGUCUUUCCUCAGCAGAUGUCUUCCUCGUCCUCCAAGACCCAGCUCAACGGUCCCUGCUCUUAGAAGCGUCCUGAUUCCAGGGGGGCGAGCAGCACCCACUUCCCCUGGUACAUUCGGCAGGAUGAACACGUCAGGUGUGGUGUUAGCCAUCUUAGCGUCCCAGCAAGUGUGUGAGCUCCAUGCGAGUGGGGCCUGUGUAUUUACCACCCUGGAGUCCCUGCCCCACGCUCAGCGCUGGGCCUAACAGCGUCAACAGGUGUGAGCAAGCCGAUGUGUGUGUGUGCACAUGUGCCUGAGCGCCAGGAGAGCUGGUCGGGAGGUGACCUGUUCAGGAAAGGACAGGGAGGGGUCAAAGUUUACUACGUGCAUCCCCAGCCUCCACUCGGGGCUCCCUCUACUCCCAAGACCGUGACUCCCCCAGUCUCCUUUGCGCCCAUUCAGACUGAGGGAGCGUCUGGCUCCUUGCCGACUGAGUCAAGGUCAGCUCAUCCCCUGCCGGGUCACAGGGGCGCACUCCCAGGAGGAGUGUACUGGUGGUAUUUCCAGAGCUCUGCUGGGUGUGAUGGAAGGUGAGGGGACACUGGCCCAUUAGAAAGUGGACGGAAUCUUCCAGACUUCAGACAGAGGAGACUAGACUAUCAGGGAGGGGACAACGGAUGUGAGCCGCGUUUUGAAGGAAAAACUGUCGU